AACGAACGCUGGCGGCAGGCCUAACACAUGCAAGUCGAACGCCCCGCAAGGGGAGUGGCAGACGGGUGAGUAACGCGUGGGAACGUACCCUUCGGUUCGGGAUAACUCAGGGAAACGUUAGAGCUAAUACCGGAUACGUCCGAGAGGAGAAAGAUUUAUCGCCGAGGGAUCGGCCCGCGUCUGAUUAGCUUGUUGGUGAGGUAACGGCUCACCAAGGCGACGAUCAGUAGCUGGUCUGAGAGGAUGAUCAGCCACAUUGGGACUGAGACACGGUCCAGACACCUACGGGUGGCAGCAGUCGAGAAUUUUUGUACAAUGGGGGAAACCCGUGAUCGAGCGACGCCGCGUGGAGGA
rnacentral:rRNA from 1 species